AGGAAUUCCGUCGGAAUCCGGGAGGACCAUCUCCCAAGGCUAAAUACUCCCUAGUGACCGAUAGUGAACCAGUACCGUGAGGGAAAGGUGAAAAGCACCCCGGAAGGGGAGUGAAAUAGAACCUGAAACCGUGUGCCUACAACAAGUCAAAGCCCGUUAAUGGGUGAUGGCGUGCCUUUUGUAGAAUGAACCGGCGAGUUACGAUUGCAUGCGAGGUUAAGUUGAAGAGACGGAGCCGCAGCGAAAGCGAGUCUGAAUAGGGCGUUUGAGUAUGUAGUCGUAGACCCGAAACCAUGUGAUCUACCCAUGUCCAGGUUGAAGGUGCGGUAAAACGCACUGGAGGACCGAACCCACGUACGUUGAAAAGUGCGGGGAUGAGGUGUGGGUAGCGGAGAAAUUCCAAACGAACUUGGAGAUAGCUGGUUCUCUCCGAAAUAGCUUUAGGGCUAGCCUCGGAAUUGAGAAUGAUGGAGGUAGAGCACUGUUUGGACUAGGGGCCCAUCUCGGGUUACCGAAUUCAGAUAAACUCCGAAUGCCAUUCAUUCAUAUCCGGGAGUCAGACUGUGAGUGAUAAGAUCCAUAGUCGAAAGGGAAACAGCCCAGACCACCAGCUAAGGUCCCAAAAUAUAUGUUAAGUGGAAAAGGAUGUGGGGUUGCACAGACAACUAGGAUGUUGGCUUAGAAGCAGCCACCAUUUAAAGAGUGCGUAAUAGCUCACUAGUCGAGUGACCCUGCGCCGAAAAUGUACCGGGGCUAAACAUAUUACCGAAGCUGUGGAGUACACCUUUAGGUGUA
rnacentral:rRNA from 1 species